GAAAAACCAUUUUUUAAAGGACACAUACGAUGGUGUAUCUCUCUGUGUAAUGGUGAGCCAUGCUGCAAGGUUGUAGCCUUGGCCCGAAGACAGAAAAUUCUCUCUGCCCUGCUGUAUCAUAAAGCACACACUUAGUGCCCUGGAGCAAGUCCAUGACUCCACAUGACCUUGGAAGCUUUCUUCUCUCCAGAACAUUUGGAAAGGGGUAGAAGACCAUAUGGCUUACUUGUUCCAUAGCUCCAAGUGAGUCUGUAAUAAUGUUUGUGAAUCUUGACUGUAACAAUGUUGGGUUAUUUUUUGUUUGUUUGUUUGUUUAAUUAUGUAAAAAAAAACAAAAACAAAAAAAUAAGAAAAGAAAAACGCUUAAAAAAAAAAAACACAAACAAAACAAAACAAGAAACCCAGAAAUACCCUUAUCUGGUUCUGACCAGUGUGUGUGUAACUUUCCAAGAUCUGAGGGGAAAAUAGCUUUUGGGUUUUCAUUUAUUUUUUUGACAAAGACUGCACAUAAGAAGAAAAGGAAAAAAAUAUACUCAGAAAAAAAGUAUGAGACUCUUGCCAUAUGAACUCAAAAUCUACCAUGGCAUUCACUCCAUGUAGCAGGUUGUGGUGUCUCUAGAACCAAUUGUUAGUUUCCUAAUGCUUUGGUGAACCCAUGUGGGAUGACAAGCCGUUUGAAAAGCAGGUCCCCAGAUCUAAUUCCAAUAUUUGCCAUUCAAACCUGUAACAGAUGGGUUUGGGGCUGGUGUUAUCGGAGCUAUUGGUUUCACUUAACAAAUACUGUCCCUGUCCAUCAACCCAAAGUGUGUGAACGGGGAAAUGUAACCCCCAAGAAUUAAAGCAGAGCCUUUCUAAGGGAAGGAAAAAAGGGAAAGGGGGUGGACUGGAUCUGUGAAAUGCAUGCAAACAAAGAAAAAAAAAAACCCACAAAAAAGAAAAGACAAUGUUAGCAUCUGUUUCAACAGACUGCAAGGGAGUUCCUAACUUGUAACACAACCACAAGUGGUCACACAAGCCUAGUCAUGGCCAAGUGUGAAAAAUCAUAGUUACUUCCCCACCCCCAACAUAAUAACGGUUUCCAUAUGGUUUAACUUUGUAGCCUGAUGUGAGUAAAUCCUUCCCAUCUCCUCAUGUCUCCUUCCGCCCAUCUUUUUUUUUUAAAGACAAAUAAAUAAAUGAGUAAAGCUGCUGUGACACACACACAAAAGGAAUUUAAUAGUAUAAUAUAUAUAAAUAAAUAUAUAUACAGAUAUAUUUAUCAUGGUAUGUUUGAUGGGAUGACUGACACAGAAAUCUGUUAAAGUCUUGAAGUGGAAUGAGAAUGUUAUUUUAAAAGAAAAAUAACAAAACAACAAAAAAGUAAACCUUAAAAUGUGAAGAAAGUGUGAGUUUUCGUUUUGUCACAGUUAACUGUGUCAAAGAGAAUUUAAACAACAAACAACAGAAACUUCUCAGAUUUUGUUUACAUAUUUUACUACAUUUUUGCUGGUAUAAUCCCUUAGUCGUGUAUGUACCUACCGCUUUGAGAACUGUUAUUUCCUUUCUGUCUGUUUAUUUGGUUUGUGUCCCAUUCUCUUUCUGUCUUCUUUUUGUAAAGAGGAAACAAUGUACAGAGUAAUU
rnacentral:lncRNA from 1 species